rnacentral:rRNA from 1 species
UAACACGUAAAGAACCUGCCUCAUAGACUGGGACAACUAUUGGAAACGAUAGCUAAUACCGGAUAACAGCAUUAACUGCAUGGUUAAUGUUUAAAAGUUGGUUUUGCUAACACUAUGAGAUGGCUUUGCGGUGCAUUAGCUAGUUGGUGGGGUAAAGGCCUACCAAGGCGACGAUGCAUAGCCGACCUGAGAGGGUGAUCGGCCACACUGGGACUGAGACACGGCCCAG